CUCAACAGCGAUGACGAGCCACCAAAUCCGCAAGAUAUUGAGCCACUUGGUUAGGACUAAGUGCAAUGGCUGAUGAUGUUUUGAAUCACCUUUGAAUCUUUGGACCACAUCCUACUUACCUACUGGACUGAAAACUACAUACAGCCUUUUUUCAACUGUUCACCAGCAGUGAAAGCUUAUCAGCGUCAAACCCCAAACCAACAUGUUGUGAAGGGAAUGAUGUGGUGACCCAUUUGGUUCCACAUAAAUGAGAGUCGAUGUUUACGCACUGUAAAUAACAUCUCUCUGCAAUGUUAGAAACCCCUGUACUCCUUAUACCUAAUAAAUGUAUUGCAAGUAGCAUGUGAAGUUCACAUU